GACAGAGGGGGCAAGCGUUGCUCGGAAUUACUGGGCGUAAAGGGCGCGUAGGCGGGAUGGCAAGUCGGUCGUGAAAUCCCUCGGCUCAACCGAGGAACGUCGAUCGAUACUGCUGUUCUUGAGGAUUGCAGAGGAGACUGGAAUUCCCGGUGUAGCGGUGAAAUGUGUAGAGAUCGGGAGGAACACCGGUGGCGAAGGCGGGUCUCUGGGCAAUUCCUGACGCUGAGGCGCGAAAGCUAGGGGAGCGAACGGG
rnacentral:rRNA from 1 species